GUGCUCGCUUCGGCAGCACAUAUACUAUUAAUUGGAAUGAUACAGAGAAGUUUAGCAUGGCCCCUGCACAAAGAUGACACACAAAUUCGUGAAGCGUUUCAUAUUAAA
rnacentral:snRNA from 1 species